CCUACGGGAGGCAGCAGUAGGGAAUAUUGCUCAAUGGGCGCGAGCCUGAACCAGCCAAGUCGCGUGAGGGAAGACGGUCCUAUGGAUUGUAAACCUCUUUUGUCGGGGAGCAAAAGACGCCACGCGUGGCGUUCCGAGAGUACCCGAAGAAAAAGCAUCGGCUAACUCCGUGCCAGCAGCCGCGGUAAUACGGAGGAUGCGAGCGUUAACCGGAUUUAUUGGGUUUAAAGGGUGCGCAGGCGGAAGAUCAAGUCAGCGGUAAAAUUGAGAGGCUCAACCUCUUCGAGCCGUUGAAACUGGUUUUCUUGAGUGAGUGAGAAGUAUGCGGAAGGCGUGGUGUAGCGGUGAAAUGCAUAGAUAUCACGCAGAACUCCGAUUGCGAAGGCAGCAUACCGGCGCUCAACUGACGCUCAUGCACGAAAGUGUGGGUAGCGAACAGGAUUAGAUACCCCAGUAGUC
rnacentral:rRNA from 1 species